UCUACUGAUCAUUUGAAAAAUUAAGACCUCUGUGAAAAAAUUCCAGACUUUGAGGUGAAAUUCAAUACUUUUUAAGGCCUUAAUUUAGGAAAAUGAAAUUUAAUACUUUUUAAUACUUUUAAGACUCCGCGGGUACCCUGAUUUUGUGAGAUAGAU